rnacentral:rRNA from 1 species
UACCAGCACCCCGAGUAGUCGGGACGUUUAUUGGGCCUAAAGCAUCCGUAGCCGGUUCUACAAGUCUUCCGUUAAAUCCACCUGCUCAACAGAUGGGCUGCGGAAGAUACUAUGGAGCUAGGAGGCGGGAGAGGCAAGCGGUACUCGAUGGGUAGGGGUAAAAUCCGUUGAUCCAUUGAAGACCACCAGUGGCGAAGGCGGCUUGCCAGAACGCGCUCGACGGUGAGGGAUGAAAGCUGGGGGAGCAAACCGG